ensembl:lncRNA
AUGGAGAUGACUCUAUUGUCCAUCACAGUGUGGUUCACUCAGUUCCUCAUCGUCUCUGCUCUUUAUUUCAACACACAGCCAACAAAUACCACAAGUGACUACACUGAAAUAACUUCAGCAACAACAAAAACAAACUCAGAACCAAAGAUCCCUAUGUAUGCAACAUCAUCGUCACCUCUGACCGCAUCAACAACGCAGAAAAGCAUAACCAGUCUGCCCAGUGAAGUGCAUACACAGACAGAUAUAACCCCAGAUGUGACACCCACACAGGAAACAGCAUCCCUGCAUCAACUGAGCAGCAUUACUCCAUCUCAAAAUGUCACGAUGGAUGAUGACGAGAGCGUAAGCAAUGCUAGUAAUGUGGCUAUGAGCGAUGCAAAUACAAGUCAUACAACAGUUUCCACUAACUUUGCAAGACUGACGGCACAAAAGGAUGACAGUAAUGAAACUGGAACAACAUCAAGUGUGAGUUACAACUCUGACGGGCACACCGUUCAGACUGCAGACACUUUAUCAGACCCAGUCGACAGUGUCUCAACAGUUCCUUGGAAAUAUUCCACAGAGAAAGAGGAUGAGAGAACGAAAGCCGAUGAAGGAAAUGAUGAAGCUAACUCCACCCAGGCCACAUUUGCAAAUAUGAAAGGGGAGUCGAGAGGAACACGAGGCACUGAGGGAAGUUACACGUUCUCAAGUGAACACAGAGAGGCACAUUACAACACCACAGCAAAUACAAUCAAUGUCAGUGAUACAACAGCAACAGUGAGUAACAAUUGGUCAACUUCACAAAACACAGAUAUUCCCAUGACCACACCGUCUUACACCACAGCACAAGGUUACCCCACAGUUACAGAUGCACCUGAAUAUCACACCUCAACAGGUGGAGUAACUCACUCUAUGACUCAGGAAAAUAUACACAUGUUCACAAACUCCACAGCAACCACAGGAAGAGAGAACAGGACAGAAACAGACACACCCAGUGGUACCACCACCAAUAUCAACAUCUCUAUCAUAACUGACAACAGCCUUGAUGCCACAAACAACAGAUCAAACCAAAAUGACACAGAAAGCAAAGUGAGGCCUACAUGCUUGAACCCAAAUCCAGAAAAUCAUUUUUGGCCAUCCAAGCUGGUCUGUUUCCUCACAGUGUGGACUUUAGCAAUGACCGCCACCAUAUUUCUAGGAAUAACUAUUUUCCUUUGGGUGCGUCUGUCGGUUUCCAAAAAAAAGAUGAAGCGGAGAGUAAAAGGAGGUCAGAAGAGUGAGAAGGAGAGCCUGUGGACCGACCCCAAAGCUUCGGUGCAGGACAGAGUGGAGUUCUGGUACGUCAAUGGAUCCACGCUGGAGGCCGACAAGAAGCAGAAGGACAAGAGGAGGAUGAAGAGGAGAGGACAGGAACAGGAUAAUGAGGAGAACAGCUUGUGGAUUCAGCCUAGAGUGACUGUGGAAGACAUAACAGACUUCUGGUACGCAAACAGACGCAUGAAGGAGGGCAGGACAGAGGACACAUAG